rnacentral:rRNA from 1 species
UACGGAGGGUGCAAGCAUUAAUCGGAAUUAUUGGGCGUAAAGGGCGCGUAGGCGGAUUUGUAAGUCAGAUGUGAAAUUCCGAAGCUCAACUUCGGAGCUGCAUUUGAAACUGUGAGUCUAGAGGGAUGGCGGAGAAAAUGGAAUUCCACGUGUAGCGGUGAAAUGCGUAGAUAUGUGGAAGAACACCGGUGGCGAAAGCGGUUUUCUAGCUUUUACCUGACGCUGAGGCGCGAGAGCAAGGGGAG